rnacentral:lncRNA from 1 species
ACUAUUAUCACACUGCAAGAAAUUAGAAAACGAUGAAUAGUACAGCUCAAUAACUUCAGCACAUAAACGAAUUCCCCAUUUUCUUUCUCUAUAUAACAAAGACUAAGAAGAUCCAAAUGAACAUCCCGCAGCUUCUACUAUACUAAAUAGAGCUAUGGCAAUUAAAUGUGCUUUAGCCUCCAUCUUGGUCCAUCUAGUUCUAGCCAGCUUACCAACUUACACCAUUGGCAGCCGGUUGCUGCCACUCAACCGAAGCAGUUUUCCGCCUGGUUUUAUUUUUGGAGCCGGUUCUUCUGCUUAUCAAGUAUGAUCUUUCUUUUCUUUUGAAAAAAGAACAAAGAAAUUUUCUUGACUAGUAUUUUCUUUAACAGUCUGAAGGAGCAGCACUGAUAGAUGGCAGAGGACCAAGCAUAUGGGAUACUUUUGUGAGGGAACAAUCAGGUUUGAAUAGAAGAAGAAGAAGAAAAAAAAAAAAACUUUGUUGUUUUAUGCUUUGUAAAUCCUUUUACUAUGAGUAAUGAAUUUAUGUUUUUCCUCUUCAUCUUUAUCCCUUCCUUUGUUAUGUGUUUAAGAUAUUUUUGUUUUGUCGUUUCUUUGAAAAUGCUAAAACCAGCUUUCCUACCCCAUUUUCUAACCAUUUUUAUGUGUUUUGAAAAAAUUUUACCUUUGCGUGGCAGAAAAAAUUAAGGAUCGCAGUACAGGAGAUGUAGCUGACGAUUUUUAUCACCGUUACAAGGUAUUAUUAUGAAAAAUUAAGCAUAGUAUACAUAUAUAUAGUAUUUUUAUUCCUCUAUAUAUUUUGCUUGCUUGCUUUGGAUUCAGGAGGACAUAAAACUAAUGAAAAAGAUUGGUCUGGACUCCUUCAGGUUCUCCAUUUCGUGGAGUAGAAUCUUACCAAGUAAGAGAAGGAAUUUAUGAAAGAUAAAUUGGGAUAGAAUAAUUAAUGAGUCUGAAUCUUAAUUCAUUACAAUGGAAAAGUACAACAAUAUGCUAAAAUAGGUAUAUAUAUUCUAGGUUAGGUGAGGAAUUAUUAAGGUGUAACACUUUUCUCCUUUUUCCUUUUUUUUUUUUAUUUUUUAUUUUUUUUUCCAGAGGGGAAAAUCAAUGGGGGAGUGAAUGCACUGGGUGUUCAAUUUUACAAUGACCUCAUCAACAAUCUACUUUCCAAUGGUCAAUUACCAUUAUCUUUCACUAUAUAUAUUUUUAUUUUCCUGAUUAAUUACUUAAUAUGUUUUCACUAAAAUAGUAAAUUGAGCAUGCAGGUAUAAAGCCCUUUGUGACUUUACUCCAUUUCGACCCUCCACAAGCUCUGGAAGAUGAGUAUGGUGGUUUUCUAAGCCCACAAAUAGUGUAAGUGACAAAUUUUCAUAUAUAUAUAUAAGAAUAUGUUCGGUAAAAUUAAUUUUGUAGCAGCUAUUGAAUAUUUUAGUAACUGUUAACUGUUUAAAUAGCCUUUCAUCAACGUUCAAGUGAGUAACAUUUCAUAAUGCUCUCUCUCAAAUUCUUCUCACUAUUAUAAAAGAUAUAUUGUGGUUACAUGAAAAGCUGUUGCCGAACAUGACCGAAGAACAUUCUAUAUUUUUCAUUUAUUUUUAAUAUGUAACAAUAUAAUAUGAAUGUCUCUAAUUCGAUGAAUAUAUAUAUAUAUAGGAAAGAUUAUGUGGAGUAUGCAGACUUUUGUUUCAAAACAUUUGGCGAUCGAGUGAAGCUUUGGGUGACCAUAAAUGAACCCAACAUAUUUGUCAUCCAAGGUUAUGACUCCGGUGUCUUGGCACCUGGUCGAUGCUCCCACCUUGUAGGAAAUUGCUCUGCCGGAAACUCUGCAACUGAACCUUACAUCGUCAUGCACCACCUACUUCUCAGCCAUUCAGCUGCUGUCAAAUUGUAUAGGGACAAGUACGAGGUAACUAAUACUUUACCAGUAAUUAAAUGUAUUGCAUCUCCAGACGAAUUUUUCUUGACUACUAAGUGAUAAAUUUAACAUUUGCAGGUUAUCCAAAAGGGACAAAUCGGAAUUACGAUAGCAAGUGAAUGGUAUAUUCCAAAGUACAAUACAUCUUCUAGCCGCUUGGCUACCUCUAGAGUCUUGGAUUUUAACUUUGGAUGGUAAGCACUAAAUCUAUAUAUAUAUAUCCGAAAUAACAAGAUGAACUAUACAACAGUGAUAUCUCUUAACUCAUUAAAUUAGUAAAAAUUCUUAUAGUCGAAACUACUCGAACUCAAGACCUCUAUAAUAUGAGAAAAUCAACCAGACCACACUUGAUUGACUGUAAUUUCAUUUUUUCUUUGAGGUGACAAUAUUAGAACUAUAUUUUUGCAGGAUUGCACAUCCAAUUACAUAUGGAAGCUAUCCCCGAAGCAUGAGAGAACUAGUGGGAAGUAGAUUGCCAAAAUUCACUCAAGAACAAUCAAAAAUGAUAAAAGGGUCCUUUGAUUUUAUUACCCUAAAUUACUACUCAACAUAUUAUGCAGAAACUGCUCCACUUGCUAACGGUGCCAUCCUUAGUUAUACUGCUGACCAACGUGUAAAUACAACUUGUAGGUUCAAAUUUUUUAAAGCUUUAAUGAUUAUACAAUUAAGCUUUGAAGAAAAAAUUUUAAUUAAUCUAUUAAUACUAAUUAAUACUAUGCAUUUCGUCACCGCAGCAGAAAGGAAUGGAGUUCCCAUCGGCACACCGGUAUAUCUUUCUUUUUUCUUUCACACAUCGCCAUAUUGAUACCAAUGAGAUAGGNNNNNNNNNNNNNNNNNNNNNNNNNNNNNNGUACUAAUUGCAUAUUGAAGGGUAAGUUGCUCAAAAUUAAAGAACUUCAAUUUACGAAGAAAAAUGCAUCAGAAUUAAAUUUUCUUGGAAUCAUAAUGAACAAAGAAAAUGUGAUUAGCUGCUAAUUAUAUGUUGACAUUUUGCUUGGUGUUGCUUAGACUGUUUUGAGCUGGCUUUACAUCUAUCCAAAAGGAUUGGAAGAGCUUUUGCUAUAUGUGAAGGAAAAUUACAACAAUCCUACUAUUUUUUUUUUACAGAGGUUAAUUAAUGGUUUUAAUCUGCAUUAAUUCCUUGCAGGAAUGGCUGACGAUGCCUCUUUGCCGCUUGAAGUUGGCCUUAAAGAUGGUUUAAGAAUAAGAUACCUUAGUAGUCACUUAUCUUAUCUUUUAAGGGCAAUCAAGUAAAUUUUUUUUAAUUAUUUUUACUUUUAACAAUUAAUUAAUUAAUUGGUGAUAUUAAACAAAUUAAUCACGAUUUAAUUGAAAUUUUGCAGGAAGGGUGUUAAUGUAAAAUCAUACUAUAUAUGGUCAUUUUUUGAUGACUUUGAAUGGAGCAGUGGCUACACCAUUCGAUUUGGCAUCACUUAUGUUGAUUAUAAGAAUAAUCUGAAACGAUACCUCAAGUACUCAGCCUAUUGGUUCAAAUUGUUCCUUGCAAAUUAAUUAUGUUUGAAGACCUCCCAAAUACUUUUUACUCUUCAUUUUCCAAUAAAAAAAUAAUAAAAAAAUGCUUUGUGUAACUUACAAUAAUAGUGCGGUUAAUUCAACCGAUCGAAUUAGUCCAUUUGACAAGAAUGUGCUCUCGUUUCUUUUUAAUAAGAGCUCGAUUUCAUGGAUAUGUGAGUUGAUUUGCAUGGAAAAAAUCCAAAUUUCUUAAAUAAAAGAUCGAGCGUUUUCAUCUUUAUGAAUCGAGAAAAAAAAAAGUUUAAAUAUAUAUUUUUUCAUUCUUGCAUUCUCUUCUUUAGUUGUACAAUCCAACCACUUUCCUUUUGUAUUGUCAUUUUUAAAUUAUUAUACCAAUUAAUGUGUCAAAAUGGAUUGACGCGUUGGUCGACACGAAAUCGCCUAACACUAGACACGAUUAUAGUGAACAUGAACACAACCUGUUUAACAAUUGUGUCAUAUAUUUAAAUACGAACAUGACAUAAAAAUUAAACGAAUGAUACAUAUAUGAUGCAAUUAAAUGGGUCAUAUAUGAGUCAAAAACUUUAAUUUAAUUUAAUUAAAUAUGUCAUAUACGGUUCAGAAAUACGAUACAUAUAAUAUGUAUAACUUGUAUAACCUACUUAAUAUACUUAAUAUUCUUAAAUAAAUGGGGUACACGAAAUAGACUAGUCAACCGUGAUACACUACGUUUAAACUCGAGUUAUAUAUGGGGCAUCCGUUUAUAAUGCAAAAUCAUUUUGACUCAACCUUAAUCCAUUUAAUUUUCGUAUUAGGCGAACUGUUUACCGUGUCAUGACUCAUUUUGACAGCCCCGGCCUAGCAUAUGCCAUCUAAUCCCCUCCGUAGUCCAACUUCAGUGCUCUACAUUUUUUUUGUUACAAUAGAGGUUCUAUUCAACAAAUUUAACUGUUUUAGUUGCUAUUAGCCGUUUUAGUAGCUGUCAACUGUUUUAAUAGUGGUUAGCAGUUAAUGGUUAACGAUUAUACAGUGAUUUAGAAUAAAGUGUUUGGUACAAAUAACUGUUUAAUUAGCUGUUUAAAUAAGGUAAAGAAAAGUGAUAGAUACAGGCGUUAUAGAGAAAUUAUAAAAUGUUAUAAAGAUAACGUUUUAUAAAAUAUUGUCUCAACUCUAAAUAUUAGAAUAUAUAUUGUAUUAUCAAAUACUAUAAUUAAUUAAGAUAGAAUUUCAAUCCUAUUAAAACACUAAACAGUACUUCAAAAUCCAUUAGUGCAACAGAAAUGCAACUUAAGAAGACCACAGAAAAGUCAAAAAAAACCAUUCCACCGUUCCAUCCAUAAUUUAGAUUAAUUUAUAAUAAUUAUAUAGACAGUGACACAUGCUGUAUUUUAAUAUAUUUUUCACGUGUGUGUCUGCCACUCAACUACCAUUGUUCUUGGCUGAUACUAUAAUUGAUGUCUAAUUGUUUCAACUACCCAUUUUAAAAAUCUCCCCUUAUGGAAUUUGACUUAAAUUCUAACUACCCUUUCUUCCUCUUCUUUGUUUUUAUAAAUCUAUCGGGCCCCAUUGAAUGUUUAAGUUCAUCUGGUUAUUAUACAACUCCGUUUAAUCGGAGCAGUUUUCCGGCAGAUUUUAUAUUUGGAGCAUCCUCAAGUGCUUACCAGGUAGCUAGUCUCUGCAACCAUAGAGUUUUUUUUUUUCUUUUUUAAAUUUCUUUUCCAUUUAACUGCAUUUCUUGCUUCAUUGUAUAGUAUGAAGGAGCAACUCAGGUUGAUGGAAGACGACCAAGCAUUUGGGAUACAUUCGUCAGGGAAUUCCCAGGUUCUACAUCGUUAAAACGACUUAUAUUUGUAGAGAGAGGAAUUAAUUUACAAUUUAUCAUAUGAAAUCAGUCUAUGAUUGCUUUGACUCGUGUAAUUUUAAUUUUCCCAGUCAAUUUUUAAAUAUUUUUUCUCCUUUUAUUUUUAAGAUAAUUUUUUUUCUCUUAUUUCUCUUUUCACUAACUUCAAAAUAUGAGAUAUCUUAUAGAGUUAAAACUCAAAACAUGGCAGAAAAAAUUGCAGAUCAUAGCAAUGGAAAUAUAGCCGAAGAAUUUUAUUAUCUUUAUAAGGUAUGUCUAAGAAAAUUAUGUAUUCAUCAAUGUCAAAAUAUAAACUCCUUCUAUUGCUAGUUACAUAUACAUGUAUGUGUGUUUAUAUAUAGGAGGACAUUGCUCGGAUGAAAGAAAUUGGAUUAGACUCCUUCAGAUUUUCCCUUUCAUGGCCCAGAAUAUUACCUUGUAAGAACAUCAUUUCGUAAUUGGUUAAUUAUAAUUUUGGAAUUUUAAUCACUUGGAAUGGAUUUUUUUUCUUAAAUUCUCAGAUGGGAAAAUCAGUGGAGGUGUGAACCAGAAAGGUGUUGAUUUCUACAAUUUUAUCGUUGAUGAGUUAAUAUCAAAUGGUAAUUUUUUUUAUAUUUCACAAAUUGAAUCCUUUUAAAUUAAGAUAAUAACAUUUUAAUUAUCAUCUAAAUAUACUAGUAUUUACAUUUUGAGCAGGCAUUCAACCCUUAGUGACUCUAUUCCAUUGGGAUGUUCCUCAAGCCAUUGAAGAUGAGUAUGGUGGAUUCUUAAGCUCUGAAAUUGUGUAAGCUAAUCAGCUAAUCUUUUUAAGAAAGGUUAAUUGCAAAUGGGAAAUUAAUUGAUCAAUUCUAAGACUUGUACAGGGAUGAUUAUCGCAAUUACGCGGAUUUUUGCUUCAAAGAAUUUGGUGAUAGAGUAAAGUAUUGGGUGACUAUAAACGAGCCUGACAUAGUAGGUCUUAAAGGGUAUGCAUCAGGCAUUAAUGCACCCGGUCGGUGUUCUAGCUACAUCGGAAAUUGCACGGUGGGGAAUUCUGCGACAGAGCCAUAUAUGGUGGUUCAUAACAUGAUUCUUUCUCAUGCAGCUGCUGUAAAAUUAUACAGGGAGAAAUAUCAGGUGAGGAUAAUUCUUUUUUAUGCAGCAGAAGUUUUUGGGAAAAGACUUGUCCAAAUCUCCAAUUUUAGUAAUUUGGAUUCUUUUUAGGCUUCUCAAAAGGGUAAACUUGGGAUUACAGUAUCAGUUAGAUGGAUGGUGCCCAAAUACCCCACAGUUUCUUGCAGAAAGGCAGCCUCUACUGCUCUUGAUUUUUCAUUUGGAUGGUAAGUGUCUCUAUGCUAAAUAUAAAGAAAUAAUCUUUUAUCAAUGGCGAAUUCUGUGGAUAGAAGUGGAUUGCGUCUAGUGAAUUUUACCUAUAAAAUUAUUAUUUUUUGGAUACCUAAUUUAAUUAUUAAUGUUAAUAUGUGUAGGGUUGUUCAUCCCUUAGUAUAUGGUGAAUAUCCUGAGAGCAUGAGAGACUUGGUGGGGACUCGAUUGCCUAAUUUUACAGAAGAAGAAACAGAGAUGGUCAAAGGGUAUUUUGAUUUUGUUGGAAUAAAUUAUUACACUGCAAGAUAUGCAGAAGAAGCCACAUCUUAUAGUAGCAUCUACCUAAGUUAUACUACAGAUAGUCGAGUUAAUCUAACAAGUGAGUCCAAAGAUAAGAUUAAUUGGUGGUUUUAACUAAUUGAUUAUUCAUCAAUCUUGAUUUUUUUUUUUUUUUAUUCGAUUCAAUUUCAUUCACAAAAUGUUUGUAAUUUACUGUCGGCAGCUGAGAAAAAUGGGAUUCCUAUCGGUCCACAGGUAUUCCUUUUUAUAUAUAUAUAUUUUUUCCCAUAAUGUACAAUUUUAAUUUAAUUUUUAAUACAUAAAUAUUACACUAAUUAUUUCUCAAUUUUUUGCUUAGGCUGCUCCUAGUUGGCUUUACGUUUACCCAAAGGGAAUUCGAGAAAUUUUGCUAUAUACAAAGAGUAAAUACAACAAUAUUCCCAUUAUUGUCACUGAGAAUGGUAUAAACAGCAAUCAUUUAAUAAUUUUCCGCAAUUUCUUAUUUAACAAUUAAUGAUGUCUAACGUGUGUGUGUGUGUGUAUAUAUAUAUAUAUAGGAUGGCUGAUCCAAAUAAUAGCUCCAUUUCCAUUAAUGAUGCUCUAAAUGAUAAUUUGAGGAUCAAAUACCAUUUUCUUCAUCUAUCAUAUCUGUUAGAAGCUAUUAAGUAAGUUUCAAUAUUUGGGUUUCAAUUUAAGGUACUAUAGUUCUUCCUAAGAGAAAAAAAAAAUAAUAGGUAUGAUCUUUGGCAUGCAGAGAUGGAGUUGACGUAAGAGGAUAUUACGUGUGGUCAUUUCUAGAUGACUUUGAGUGGGAACUUGGUUAUACGGUUCGAUUUGGCAUUAAUUUUGUUGAUUAUGAAAAUGGAUUGAAAAGAUAUUACAAGCACUCUGCUUUAUGGUUCAAAGAUUUCCUCCAAAUGGAGAAUGUAACUUCCUCUUCUUUGUUGUAUUCUCAAUGAUUGAUGGAUUAAUUUCAUAAUACUAUAUAUUUAAUAUUGUUUAUUUAGUGAUAUAAUUAUGUUCUAUAAAUCCCUAUCAUUUUUGGAUUUUGAUAGUAACAACUUAUGAUUAAAUUCAUAAUUAUUGGUUAAGGUUUUCUUAGUUAUGUGUUUUUUUUUUUUUUUUAAUAAAGAAUAAUUAAGAUUGUUGUUAUGACUGGGAGGUGAGAAAAUCAGAAGCUAAAAGAAAUCAUGAGGAGCUUAGGUGAAGAAAUCUUACAAAAAUUAUAUAAAUUAUUAAAUGAAUUGGGGAAUAUUUGGUAGGUAUGGUAAGUAGGGCAUUAUUGAAAUUAAUUAUAAGCAUUUUAUGCAGGAAUGAGUACUUUUCAGCUAAUAUGUGGUAGUUGUUGAGUUAUUUUCAGCUAGAUCAUAGAUGUCAUUGUAUUCCAUAUUUCUCCAUAAACAUUGAUGUUAUUGUAAUACUACAAAUACAGUUGAAUUCAAAAAAUAAAUAAUUUCCUUUAAUUAAUCAAUAAAUUGAAAUAACGGGUAAUCUUUGCACUCCUGUGAGAAGACCAACCAGACAAAGUUCUUUUCAUAUUUUGUCUAUUUUGUGAACUAUAAGAAUUGUAGCAUAAACGAAAUUCGUAACUUAAAAGGAAUCCAAAUCUUUUAAGUAACGCGUCGUGCAAGUUGAAAAAUAAGAAUUUAUUAUUGGAAAAAAAAUAUAUAAGAAGUAAUAUUGGUUUAGAGAAAGAAUGCCUAUUUGUCUUUUGUUUAGCUCUGAUAAAAGAAUUGUUACCUUCCUACAUAAUUAAUAUUCUGCUAAAUGACAGAGCACUUAGAUUUUCAUAUAUAUAUAUAUAUAUAUGAUGAAAUAAAUUAAGAUGAGCUGCCAUUUCUGAGAUGUUAGUUCUCAAUUCUGGUAAGUGUGAGUUCUUCUUCUUCCUCUCUUUCUUUCGACUUUUCUUUUCCUUCUCUGGUCUUUCUUCAAUCUCUGCAAUUUCUUCCAUAUCCGGUUAACAGGUUAGGUAUCACAUAUAAAUAUUAUAAUAAUGAAAUGAGCAUUAGAACCACUUAACACCUAUCAUCCUGCUCGGCAAAAGGCACGUUAAUCUUGCAAAAUAUAUCUAAACUUUCUUCAUUUUCUUGUGUGCUAAUCUUAAUACUGUUCUUUUAUUUUCAAUUCACGAUUGCUGUUUUUUUAUUAUGAUUAUUGUCUUGUUGACAAAAUGAACACCAAUUCUUUUUUUUUUUGUCUUUUCUUGACUUUGGGAGACGUUGAACCCCACAUGUUCUGUUUUUUUCUUUUUCUGAGAGAUAAUGAACCCCACUGAUAUUGAUGAUGAUGGUUGCAGGGAUUUUGUACUGUACUGAAUAUGAAAACUGAACAUUAUCUCUUCUUCUUUCUCAUACCAAUCAUACAUUUGUGGGUUCUUACUGAGGGAUUGGAAGCUUAUAAUCUCCAUAACUCUGUUGCUCCAAUCAGUAGGAAUAGUUUUCCAAAAGAUUUUAUAUUCGGAGUAGCUUCAAGUGCUUGCCAGGUAAUUGAUUUUAUUUUUUUCCAGGAAAAUGUUUCUGGUUUUACUACAAUUUUCAAUCUCACAUUUGGUUUAGCUUUAAAUUUAGAGUGAAGGAGCAGCAGAUACUGAUGGCAAGAAACCAAGCAUUUGGGAUACCUUUACCAAGAACUACCCACGUAAUAUCCAAAUACAAAACCUAAUUAAUUCAUUAUUGUUUUAAAUUAUAAAUAUUUCAUCAGUAGAAGACCAGAAAGCAGCCAUGAGAGAAAUUCAUUUUCUUUUUGGUUGGUAAGUUUCAUAAUUAGUAUUGUAAAUUAUAUUAUUUAUAAUUUGCUGAUCCUGAAAAUUUUGUGUAGGUUUGCUCAUCCAGAAGUAAUGAAAUCUUUAGUGGGAGAACGACUGCCUAAAUUUACUAAACGACAAUCUGAUAUGCCAAAAGGGUCUCUUGAUUUCUUGGGAGUAAAUUACUACACCACAUAUUUUGUUGCAAACAACCUAUUAUCAAUGCCAAUAAAGUUGGAGCUCUGUAGUCAAACCACUUUUUCUGGUAAUUAAGUUUAUCUAUGCUAGAAAAAUAUUUCGUAUACGUAGAUAUAAUUGAAAUUAGGAAAAUUACAAAACCCCACCUAUAUACAACCAAUUAAGAAAAUGGAAACACGCAACAUAUGGUGUAAAAAUGAGCAAAAGGCAACACCAAUUAUAUUAAUAACUGACUUGACAUGAACAGCUGAAUCAUUCAAUGGAAUUAUUUCAAGUUUUCAUAAAAAGUACAUAAAUAAAUUUAUAUAUUUAGUCAAUCAUCUCUUAAUAUUUUUGUUUCUAAAUCUUGACACAUUAAUCUCAAACUAGAAUUCGAUUUUUUCAUGAAUUUAACAUCAAUAAUUAUACAAAUAAAUUCAGAAGGAAAAUCACAAUAGUUAUGGCAGGAAUGGAGUUGAUGUCAAGAUACUAUAUCAUAUGUGGGUAUUUUAGGAUGACAUUGAAUGGGAUGCUGAAUACAUAAUUUGAUUUAUUUUGCUAUUAUAAUCUCCGAUUUUAUAAGAAUGAGCUUAUCAGCUAUUAAAUUUUAAAAUUAUGUGGAGAUUAAUGAAUAAUAACUUAACCUAUUUCAAUACAAUUUAUACAAUAUAACAGCUAAUUAUUGAGUUCAUUAUUAUAUAUGGUGGAGUUUAUAAUUUCUUUUUGUUUUUUUUUAAUUUUACUUUUAAAAAUAAUGACUUUUUUACAAAGAGGAUCAUGUAUUAUGAUUAUGGUAACAUGGACUGAGCAAAAAGUUGGUACGGCAUUGACUGUCACUAUUAUCACACUGCAAGAAAUUAGAAAAACGAUGAAUAGUACAGCUCAAUAACUUCAGCACCUAAACGAAGUCCCCAUAUUCUUUCUCUAUAUAACACAGACUAAGAAGAUCCAAAUGAACAUCCCGCAGCUUCUACUAUACUAAAUAGAGCUAUGGGAAUUAAAUGUGCUUUAGCCUCCAUCUUGGUCCAUCUAGUUCUAGCUAGCUUACCAACUU